GAAAUGCGAUAAGUAAUGUGAAUUGCAAAAUUCAGUGAAUCAUCGAAUCUUUGAACGCACCUUGCGCUCCUUGGUAUUCCGAGGAGCAUGCCUGUUUGAGUGUCAUGGAAUUCUCAACUCUAUUUGCUUUUGUGAAUAGAGCUUGGAUUUGGAGGUUUAUUGCUGGUACUUGUGAUCGGCUCCUCUUGAAUGCAUUAGCUCGAACCUUUGCGGAUCAGCUAUCGGUGUGAUAAUUGUCUACGCCGUUGCAGUGAAGCAUAUCAAUGGGCUCGGCUUCCAAUCGUCCUUUACUGGACAAUGACUUUGACCUUUGACCUCAAAUCAGGUAGGAUUACCCGCUGAACUUAAGC
rnacentral:misc_RNA from 1 species